CUACGGGGUGCUGCAGUGGGGAAUAUUGGACAAUGGGGGAAACCCUGAUCCAGCAAUGCCGCGUGUGUGAAGGAGGCCUGCGGGUUGUAAAGCACUUUCGGUUGGGAGGACUGCUUCUAGCACUAAUAUUGUUGGAAGUUGACGUUACCUUCAGAAGAAGCACCGGCUAACUCCGUGCCAGCAGCCGCGGGUAAUACGGAGGGUGCAAGCGUUAAUCGGAAUUACUGGGCGUAAAGCGCGCGUAGGCGGCUAGAUCAGUCGGGUGUGAAAGCCCCGGGCUUAACCUGGGAACUGCAUCCGAUACUGUCUAGCUUGAGUACAGGAGAGGAGAGUGGAAUUCCACAUGUAGCGGUGAAAUGCGUAGAUAUGUGGAGGAACACCAAUGGCGAAGGCAGCUCUCUGGCCUGAUACUGACGCUGAGGUGCGAAAGCGUGGGGAGCAAACAGGAUUAGAUACCCCCGUAGUC
rnacentral:rRNA from 1 species